UACAGCGGGGGCAAGCGUUGUUCGGAAUUACUGGGCGUAGAGGGCGCGUAGGCGGCCUGUUAAGUCGAACGUGAAAUCCCCGGGCUCAACCCGGGAACUGCGUCCGAUACUGGCAGGCUUGAAUUCGGGAGAGGGAUGCGGAAUUCCAGGUGUAGCGGUGAAAUGCGUAGAUAUCUGGAGGAACACCGGUGGCGAAGGCGGCAUCCUGGACCGAGAUUGACGCUGAGGCGCGAAAGCCAGGGGAGCAAACGGG
rnacentral:rRNA from 1 species